rnacentral:rRNA from 1 species
AUUGAACGCUGGCGGCAGGCCUAACACAUGCAAGUCGAGCGGAUGAAGGGAGCUUGCUCCUGGAUUCAGCGGCGGACGGGUGAGUAAUGCCUAGGAAUCUGCCUGGUAGUGGGGGAUAACGUCCGGAAACGGGCGCUAAUACCGCAUACGUCCUGAGGGAGAAAGUGGGGGAUCUUCGGACCUCACGCUAUCAGAUGAGCCUAGGUCGGAUUAGCUAGUUGGUGGGGUAAAGGCCUACCAAGGCGACGAUCCGUAACUGGUCUGAGAGGAUGAUCAGUCACACUGGAACUGAGACACGGUCCAGACUCCUACGGGAGGCAGCAGUGGGGAAUAUUGGACAAUGGGCGAAAGCCUGAUCCAGCCAUGCCGCGUGUGUGAAGAAGGUCUUCGGAUUGUAAAGAACUUUAAGUUGGGAGGAAGGGCAGUAAGUUAAUACCUUGCUGUUUUGACGGUACCAACAGAAUAAGCACCGGCUAACUUCGUG